rnacentral:rRNA from 1 species
GGGGCACCCUUUUCCGGGUUGUCCCGGCCGUUUGUUAAUUCUUCCGAAGAACGGUGGUUUUUUUCCCGUUGUUGGGCCGGGCUUAUUGGGAAAACAAGUUUCCCCCUUUUGGGGAAACCAAGGGGGGCCAUUCCGGUUAGGAAGGGGGGUGAAAAAAAUUCCCCCGGUUACCUUUUGGCCCCCAUUGGGGCCUUGGUUACCCCAAUUGGCCCUUUUUUGGUUGGGAAUUAACCAACCGGCCCUUCCCUUAAAAGGGAAGGUUUCCGGAAGGGUUUUGGUUUUUUUUGGGGGGGGAAUUUUGGCCCAAGGCCCUUCCAAAAAAAAAAUUGGGGGGGGGUUGGGGGGUUAAGGAAACCUUUUCCCCAUUUCCCUUAAAAAAGGGCCCUUAAAAAAAUUUAAAUUCCCGGGGGGGGGGGAAAGGGAAGGGAACCCCCGGGAAAUUAAGGGGCCGGGGAAGAACCCAAAAGGGGUUAACCCCCGGGGUGGGAAAGGGGGGGGGAAAAAAGGGUAAUUGGGAAAAAAAAAAGGGCCAAACCCUUUUUUUGGGGGGAAAAAAAGGGAAGGGAAGGGUUUUUAAAAAAAAAAGGGUUAAACCCGGGUUGGGGAAAAAAAAUUUUUUGGGGUUCCCCGGGAAAAAAAAGGGGGGGGGGAAAAAGGGGCCGGGGCCCUUUUUGGGGAAAAAGGGGUUCCCCAAGGGGCCCCCCAAUUUGGGGCCCUCUGGGCCCUUUUUUGGGAAAAGGUAACCCUUUCCCAAAGGGCCCCCCUUUUUGGGGCCUUUUUUUUUUUUGGGCCCUUUUCUGGGGGGGUGGGGUUAAAUUUUUUUUUCCCUUUCCGGGGGGGUUAAAGGGCCCAAAAAGGGGCCUCCCAAGGGGCCCAAUUUUUUUGGGGGGUUUUUUCCGGGAAAGGGUUUCCCGGGUUUCCGGGGGGGAAAGGGAAAAAGGGGGGGGGUUAAAUUUGGGAAGGGAAAAAAAAUUUGGGGUUGGGGGGCCCAAUUUUCCCCCCUUUCCCGGGGGGAAAUUUGGGUUGGGGUUUUUAAAUUUAAGGGGAAACCCUUUUUUGGGUUUAAACCUUCUGGGGGGAAAUUAAACCGGGGAAGCCGGGGAAUUUUUUUUUGGGGGGGAAAUUCCCAAAAAGGGGGGGAAAAAACCCGGGGCCCAAGGGUUGGGGUUUGGGCCCCCCCUUUCCCUUGGGGGGGCCGGGGGGGGGUUUCCCUUUUUUCCCGGGGGGAAACCAACCCCUCCUUUUUCCCAACCAAUCCUAGUAACGGCGAGCGAAGCGGGAAGAGCUCAAAUUUGAAAGCUGGCACCUUCGGUGUCCGCGUUGUAAUCUCGAGACGUGUUUUCCGUGUGGCGCUAUGGACAAGUCCCUUGGAACAGGGCAUCGUAGAGGGUGAAAAUCCCGUACUUGCCAUGGCUGUACCAUGCUUUGUGAUACACGCUCUAAGAGUCGAGUUGUUUGGGAUUGCAGCUCAAAAUGGGUGGUAGACUCCAUCUAAAGCUAAAUAUCGGGGAGAGACCGAUAGCGAACAAGUACCGUGAGGGAAAGAUGAAAAGCACUUUGGAAAGAGAGUUAAAAGUACGUGAAAUUGUCGAAAGGGAAGCGCUUGAAGUCAGCCAUGCUGCUUGAGACUCAGCCUUGCUUUUGCUUGGUGUAUUUCUCGGUAGCAAGCCAGCAUUGGUUCGAGUCGUCGGAGAAGGGUAUGAGAAAUGUGGCAUCCUCGGAUGUGUUAUAGACUUGUACUGGAUACGACGAUUUGGAUCAAGGAACGCAG